GAUGAACGCUAGCGGCAGGCCUAAUACAUGCAAGUCGAGCGGGGUUUUCGGACCUAGCGGCGGACGGGUGAGUAAUGCGUAGGAAGCUACCCGAUAGAGGGGGAUACCAGUUGGAAACGACUGUUAAUACCGCAUAAUGUCUACGGACCAAAGUGUGGGACCUUCGGGCCACAUGCUAUCGGAUGCGCCUACGUGGGAUUAGCUAGUUGGUGAGGUAAUGGCUCACCAAGGCGACGAUCCCUAGCUGGUUUGAGAGGAUGAUCAGCCACACUGGAACUGAGACACGGUCCAGACUCCUACGGGAGGCAGCAGUGGGGAAUAUUGGACAAUGGGCGCAAGCCUGAUCCAGCCAUGCCGCGUGUGUGAAGAAGGCCUUCGGGUUGUAAAGCACUUUCAGUAGGGAGGAAGCGUUGUGUGUUAAUAGUACACAGCGUUGACGUUACCUACAGAAGAAGCACCGGCUAACUCUGUGCCAGCAGCCGCCGUAACAC
rnacentral:rRNA from 1 species